UGUUUGAUGUUCUAACGUGGACCCGUGAUCCGGGUUGCGGACAGUGUCUGGUGGGUAGUUUGACUGGGGCGGUCUCCUCCUAAAGAGUAACGGAGGAGCACGAAGGUUGGCUAAUCCUGGUCGGACAUCAGGAGGUUAGUGCAAUGGCAUAAGCCAGCUUGACUGCGAGCGUGACGGCGCGAGCAGGUGCGAAAGCAGGUCAUAGUGAUCCGGUGGUUCUGAAUGGAAGGGCCAUCGCUCAACGGAUAAAAGGUACUCCGGGGAUAACAGGCUGAUACCGCCCAAGAGUUCAUAUCGACGGCGGUGUUUGGCACCUCGAUGUCGGCUCAUCACAUCCUGGGGCUGAAGUAGGUCCCAAGGGUAUGGCUGUUCGCCAUUUAAAGUGGUACGCGAGCUGGGUUUAGAACGUCGUGAGACAGUUCGGUCCCUAU
rnacentral:rRNA from 1 species